UAAUGUAACUCAUCCAGCUAUCUCUGGUGGAGCUAUUGGACUGGGUGCUCCUACAAAUCCUGCUGCAAUAUUGAAGCAUCCUAGGACACCUACAACUGCCAACUCUACCAUAGAUUACCCGUCAGCUGAUUCUGAUCACGUAUCCAAAAGAAAUAGGCCUAUUGGGAUAUCUGAUGAGGUAUCCUGCAAGUCUUUCCUUCAAUUCUGUUUCCAUUUUAUUCUACUUGUUACUAUAUGAGAGGGUUAAUUAGAAAUUAAGUCCCUUAUGUUUGACCUUAAUUUCAAUUCCUCCCUCCAAGUUUCAAUUUGUAACAAUAUAGUUCUUGAGAUUUGACUUGAUUCUAAUAUCAUCCUCAAAUUGCAAUUUUAGCAAUUUAACCCCUAAAGAUUUCAAUUUCGUCCUCAAAUUGCAAUUUUAACAAUUUAACCCUGAAAGUUUGAGCCCAAUUUCAGUUUUGGUUCUCAUUGUUUCAGUAUUACUAAAGCAAAGAAUAAUGAUGAUUUUGACAUGGUGUUUUUUUGGACUGUGAACUAGCAUGGGGACAAAAUUGUCAUCUGAACAAACUUCACUGCCUAAAUUGUUACAAUUUAAACUGUCUAAAUGAAAUUAAGGUCAAACUUUAAGGAGUAAAUAUUAGAUUAGAGCUACAAAUCACCUUUCCUAUAUGAUUUAUCAGAGCUACAAAUCUCUCAUUUAACAAGAAACUUUUCUCUUUGCAUGUUUUCUCUACAGAAUUAGCCUAAUGAGUCAAUGCUAUUCCGAUGCAUUCAGUUGAGAGAUUACAUAGAAGAUUACUCCCAUAUUGGACACAAAUUAAAAUUCUGAUGUAUAUAUAUUAUGAGAAAUUUCUUUAUCUAUCAAUUUAAGCUCUCCGACUUGGCAUGUGUUUUUUAACACCAGCACUUUUUUCAAACAAUUAAUGCUGCUAUUUUGGCUGUAUUUACAAAAUAAACAAUGUGAAAAGAUAUUAUUGACUUAGUCCAGUAUAUAAAAAUACACUGUUUGAUAAGGUUUGAUCAUUAAGAGAUCAAACAUAUAUAUAAUUUAUUGAUCAGUUAAUAAAUUACACUCUAUAAAAUUGGUCAUAGUCACAAUUCUCCAAAUGUUGGUGGAUUUGAUUAGUUGAAUCAGAAGUUAAUUAAAAAUAAAAAAAUACUAAUU